rnacentral:rRNA from 1 species
UUGACCUCGGAUCAGGUAGGGAUACCCGCUGAACUUAAGCAUAUCAAUAAGCGGAGGAAAAGAAACCAACAGGGAUUACCUCAGUAACGGCGAGUGAAGCGGUAACAGCUCAAAUUUGAAAUCUGGGUCUUUCAGGCUCCGAGUUGUAAUUUGUAGAAGAUGCUUCGGGUGCGGCUCCGGUCUAAGUUCCUUGGAACAGGACGUCACAGAGGGUGAGAAUCCCGUAUGUGAUCGGUUGCUUGCGCCCAUGUGAAGCUCUUUCGACGAGUCGAGUUGUUUGGGAAUGCAGCUCUAAAUGGGUGGUAAAUUUCAUCUAAAGCUAAAUAUUGGCCAGAGACCGAUAGCGCACAAGUAGAGUGAUCGAAAGAUGAAAAGCACUUUGGAAAGAGAGUUAAACAGUACGUGAAAUUGUUGAAAGGGAAGCGCUUGCAACCAGACUUGCGCGUUGUCGAUCAUCCGAGGUUCUCCUCGGUGCACUCGAUCUCGCUCAGGCCAGCAUCGGUUUCAGUGGUUAGAUAAAGGCCUUGGGAAUGUAGCUUCUUUCGGGGAGUGUUAUAGCCCUCGGUGCAAUGUAGCCUACUGGGACCGAGGACCGCGCUCGGCUAGGAUGCUACGUAAAGG